rnacentral:snoRNA from 1 species
CUGUGCCUUUAAAAGAGGAAAAGACUGUUUAUAACACACCAAUAGGAAUCUGUGGUCAUGGUGAGGAGUAACACAACAUGUAGCCUUCCUAUGAACAAAUGCCCUACAAGU